UACGGAAGGCAGCAGUGGGGAAUAUUGCACAAUGGGCGCAAGCCUGAUGCAGCCAUGCCGCGUGUAUGAAGAAGGCCUUCGGGUUGUAAAGUACUUUCAGUCGUGAGGAAGGUGUUAAGGUUAAUAACCUUAGCAAUUGACGUUAGCGACAGAAGAAGCACCGGCUAACUCCGUGCCAGCAGCCGCGGUAAUACGGAGGGUGCGAGCGUUAAUCGGAAUUACUGGGCGUAAAGGGCACGCAGGCGGUUAAUUAAGUUGGAUGUGAAAUCCCCGGGCUUAACCUGGGAAUGGCAUUCAAGACUGGUUAGCUAGAGUCUUGUAGAGGGGGUAGAAUUCCGAUGUGUAGCGGUGAAAUGCGUAGAGAUGUGGAGGAAUACCGGUGGCGAAGGCGGCCCCUGGACAAAGGACUGACGCUCGAUGUGCGAAAGCGUGGGGAGCAAACG
rnacentral:rRNA from 1 species